GUGUCAAGCGUGCGGCGGCGGCCGUGGAAGGGAACUCCCUCCACUAGAAUAUGAGCUCCUUGUGGUCAAGACUGGGUCCCCUGUUCCCUUCCCCCCAGUGCCAGCGGAGCAAAGGUCAGUCAGCGGCAUAAGUUGUACCUGCUGGGAGAACUGUCUGCUUCCUCCGGGUGACUUUUCUGGCCAAGAAGGAAUAUGAGUAUGUGCCUCCCUGAGCACUGGCCUGGAGCCCACUCAGGAAACACCAUCUCUUCAUAAAUGGUUUUGAUUGCAGGCAUUGUUCCUUCUGCUCUCUGGAUGAUGGAAAUUGCUUCAGGUCACUGCACUAUCUUCCAACGUUUUUGUGGUUGCCAUGAGCUGUUGUACAGACCACAGUUUGGGGCCUGAGACAAGCUGGGCAUGGUGUUGCAUGCCUAUAAUCUCAGCUACUUUGGAGGGUGAGGCAGGAGAAUAGCUUGGGCCCAGGAGGUCUAGGCUGCAGUGAGCCAUGAUCAUACCACUGCACUUCUGUCUGCGUGACAGAGACCCUGUAUCUUACAUAAAACCCCAGCCCAUAUUUGUACCACAUCUAGAUACGAGGUCAGAGUUCAGAUGCCUAAAUAUUGUAGCUUGUGUUUUGUCCACUGUUGGGGGAAGAGUGAAGAGAUUUGACAUACCAUAAUGUUGAUUAGCUUGUGAUGGUUUGGCGGCAGCUUAGGCCAGAGCAUAAAGUAAAAAGGAAAAGUGUUCACAGACAAUGAAAACUGGGACCAAGUGGUGAAUACUCAAGGCACACAGACCAGGCAAGGAUCCCAGUGGCCGUGGAUGAGUCUCAGGCUGGCUCUGGGCCAGUGGAACACACCUCAGUGUGGGUGAAGGCCUAGCCAGGGUAGCAGAGGGCAGGGCUACAGAACAGCAGCCCAGGUGGCUGUGGCCGACCUGACAUUCUCCUGUGAAAAUCAGGUGCCCAACCAGCACUAAUCUAGAUAGAUGGCAGCAUUUUUUUUCUUUAAAGACAGGAUCUUGCUAUGUUGCUCAGGCUGGUCUUGAACUCCUGACCUCAAAGGAUCCUCCCCUCUUCAGCUUCCCAAAGCACUGGGGUUACAGAUGUGAGCCAGCACGCCCAGCCGAAUCACAGUAUCUUAGACAGAUGCCAUGGCUGCCCAUAGGGUCCUCUCAAGGUGCCUCUGCCCUUGGACUGGCUUCCUACACCAACCUGACAGGUGCAGCAAAGGUGGACUUUCUGGUAAGGCUGGAGGAGGAAGCCUGGUCUGCGAUGGCCUGAGACGCCCUCUAUGGGGGUUGUUGAGUGGAUGGAAAUGUGCAGGGCAUGGGUCCUGCCCCCAAGAAUGCAGGCUGGUUCCGCUGGGCACCUGCAGAGGGCUGAUGUCCUUUUCCUGAGGCCUGCUCCUGUGCCUUCUAACCCUAGGGUGAGAAGAUGGGCUGUGUUCACCUCAUGCCCAGGCCCUUCGAGGAGUGUGCCCUUGGGGGUCAGAGCCCUCCUGUGGCUGGUAUUUCUUUGGAUCAUCACAGGUGCUCCAGACAUCCUUUAGGGAGUCUCAGGCUUGGUGAAGGGAUCCAUUAAAUGUUGCUUAGUUGGUUUUUGUUUGUUUUUUGUUUUUUCGAGACAGAGUCUCCCUCUGUUGCCCAGGCUGGAGUGUGGUGGCGUGAUCUUGGCUCACUGCAACCUCCACCUCCCAGGUUCAAGCGAUUCUCCUGCAACCUCUGCCUCCCAGGUUCAAGCGAUUCUCCUGCCUUGGCCUCCUGAGUAGCUGGGAUUAUAAGCGUGUACCACCAACCCUGGAUGAUUUUUGUAUUUUUAGUAGAGGCAGGGUUUCACCAUGUUUGUCAGGCUGGUCUCGAACUCCUGACCUCGUGAUCCUCCUGCCUCGGCCUCCCAAAGUGCUGGGAUUACAGGCGUGAGCCAUCAUGCCCAGCCAACUGGUUUGUGAUUAAAUGUUUUGAUUGAUGCAGUUUUUGAAAUGUACUGUGUGUACAAUAUUACUCUUUUGAGACAGGGUCUCACUCUGUCACCUAGGCUGGAGCACAGUGGUGCAGUCAUGGCCCACUGCAGCCUCUGCCUUGUAGCCUCAAGUGAUCCUCCUGCUUCAGCCUCCUGAGUAGCUGGGACUACAGUUGUGCACCACCAUGCCCACCUAAUUUUUAUUUUUUUAAAGAUGGGGUCUCCUGUGUUGCCCAGGCUGGUUUUGAACUGCUGAGCUCAAGUGAUCUGCUUCUGGCCAGCUACUACUCUUAAAAGUAGAGUUCUCAGAGCAAAACAGCUCCCUUUCAACCUUCAGUCCGGUCGAAGGUGUGGUGGGGGUAACAACAGCAGGCUCAUGGAUACCUGGGCAGUGCUCCGAGGUCCCUCCUGUGUUCCCACUGAGCAGCAGCCUGCUGUGCCCGGAGUGGAGGUGAGAAAUCCAGCAGCAGCGCGGUGGUGAGUGUGGGCCCUGCGGAGUGUGGCAGGCGCUCAUUAUGGUGCAGGGCAGUGUUGGGCACAGAGAAGGUUCUCAGAAACCACAGUAACCCAUGGUUAGUUGGUCACAUCCCAGACCCUGACCUAGCACUGGCUGGCACUGUGACUUGUCACUCUCCUGAAUGGAAGAAGUGUCCACCUGGGGGUGGCUGAGGAGGUGGAUGCUAGGGGACUGCUGGGAGCCACGGACCUGUGGAGGUUGGGAGAGGAGACUGCAGGCGCAGGCUGCUGGAGGCGAGGAGGCCUCUCUGGAGCGCCAGGCCAUACAAACAGGUCCCAGGUGGGGCCACGAGGAUCAGGUUAGACUUGGGACCCGAGAGACACGUCAUGCCCACUGUGCAGGUGCCACCUCAUGUUAUCCUGCACCAGGGGAGGGGCCAGCCCAAAGUCCUGGCUGCUGGCAGCAUGCCCGUACAGCUUGGCACCUGGGUCUGAGUUCACAUGUCUAGCAAAGCUGGGAAAAUCCAGGAGCAAGAAGGUGAAGCCCUUUGGCUCAGCCCAAGCUCAGAAGGCCCUUGCCCGAUGAGCCGAACUGCUGACAACACCCUGGCACUGGGCUUGGGGACUCCCCUGGAGCAUGUAAGAAGUGAACUGGGAGCGUGGGAGAAACUGUCUGGCAGGGGCUGCUGCCUCGGAGCUCAUCCUCCCUGGCUGUGCUGGUGUCUGUCCAGUGGGAUUAGCCUCCAUCCUGUGGUUUCACCACCCCACCGCCUCUCUCCCCCACAGCACAGGCAGAAGCAGCAACGCAACACGAGACCACCUCGCUUGGGGCUAGUAGCAGUUCUGGGAAAGGCUCGGUAGGGUCUUUGCUCCCUGCGGAAUCAAGGGCUGGGGGCUGACCCAGGCUUUCUCUAUAGCUGCUUCCAGAUCUGGGUCUGGACCAGCUUCUGCAGGAAGGCACCAUUCUGUUGGGGUGUCUGACACGGUCAGCUCUAGGCUCAGCCUCUGCGGCCCCCACAAAGGCCUAGCAAGGAUGGGGCAAGGUGGCAGUGGUGCCCGCACGCACUGCCCUGGCACAGGUGUGUAGUUAGUGACCUGAAGCAUGAGGGCAUCUCCCUGCCCACCCCAGCUGGAGAUAAGCCCCUUGCGGGGCCCACCCUGCUGAUAAACCCCAGAGCAGUAUGGCCUGUGUCAGAAUGACCAGUAGGAGGGCCCCGGGGUAGCAGCUGCCCAGCCCAGCUGCGUGUGUGUGUGAAGUAUUUUCCUCAACACCUUAUACCACAGAAGGCAGAUUUUGAAACUCGCAUCAGGCCAGAAAAAGAAUUUCUGAAUGGACACUUCUAAGGGGUGCCUGGUUACUCAUCUGCCUCUUCCCCCUGCAGGGUAGAGGGGCAUGGGUUUGAAGUUCCCGGGGGCUCUUGGAGACUGCAGACACGGACGAGCUGGGGUUCCUGGAUGCUGCAGCAGUUGGGGCCCCUGGCUGAGCGCACCUGCCCCAGGAGGCCCUGCGUGGUUCCCCCAGUAGCCCCUUCACACCACACCGCAGUGAGGAUGCCCUGUCUCCUGCCGAUCCCAUCACACCAAGCCUUUUCGCUGUUGGGCUCCUGGCACUGCCCGAUCCUGGAGGGCACUUGGCUGCGGCUGUGGCUGUGAAGGGCUGGUGCUCUAGGCGCCUCCGUGGCCCCCGUUGCCUGGGCACCUACUUCCUGCCUCAGCCACAGCUGCAUCCACGUGCGCCAGGGGCCACAAGGCCGACCCUGGCUUGGGCCUGUUCCUCCCUGGGUUUCCUUGGGAUCCAGUCAUUGGAGGGCCCGCGCACAGCUGGGCCAACUCGACACCUCCAAGCCCGGCCAGGGAAUCAAGCAGCUCUCCCUCUGGCAGCAUGAGCUACACAAGCCAGGCCCGUCUUCCCAUUCCCUUAGCAAGGAGGGGCAACCCCAGCCAAGGCCUUCUGCACUGUUCUAGACUGUUGCUGCCUAGGGCUACUGUAGCUGGGAGUCACAUUCCUUUCUCCCCAGAUAGUUGCAAGGGGCCCAGCAGCCACAGCACUUCAAGGGGGCCCUGCCCUUCCCCUCCCACCACCCCACCAGGGUCCCCAUCUUCCCCUUUGUCUCCUAAAGCCCGUGAGGCAGUAGAGGAGCCAGGCCCUCCCCUGCCACACCCUGGAGAAGCCAAGCAGCAGACACCCCCAGCUCCUUCAGGGGCAUUUAUUUCCCGGUCAGAAAAGAA